UUCACACCUGACUUCAGUGAAGUGAGAAACUGGUCCUUAGAAAAACAGGUGCUCUGACCUUGGAGUGUGGUUUUUGAUGCAGAUUGUGUUUCUGCCUCACUUGUGCUGCUCUCCCUCAGCUUUUAUGGACACGCAUUCUUUAUACCUGGCUUGAAAGCAGUUACACUGUCUAGCUGCAUUGUUGUGUUCGCUGUUUGACUUCCCUGAAUGACGGUAAAAAAUAUACAUACCUUAUUUUUACAAUUUCAUUAAAUAUUUGAUAUUCAACUCUGCCCUUUCCAAGAAUCCUGGAUGUUUAAAGAACUUGAAAUGUAGCUGUUCCUUUCAUCUGUGAUGCUAUGUAUUUCCCUGAUUUUACUUGCUGAUGCUUCUUUGCUUUUGUUUGUUUUGCUUUGGUUGGUGGCUUUUUUUGGUUUUGUUGUAUUUUUUUUCUUCUCCAAAGUGUUACUUAGCUAAAAAUGCUGACUGCAAGUCAGAACCCCAACGUAAGCACAGGAGCUAUAAAACUGAGAUUACUGUGUACUUUGCACUAAGCAAAUCCUCUAUUAUCUGUGUAAUACUGCAGCUUUGGAGAAACAAUAUCACAGAUUUUUCCUAUCGUGCACACAUUCCCAUCCUUUCUUAGCUGUGGGAACAUAGUAUUAUAGUGCAAGUUAAACCCUGAAGGCUUUGAGUCUUUCCAGGCGUGGAUUCUCUCUUACUGGCCCAGGUCUUAUUUGAGAGCAAGAUCUGCAUGAACAGCAUCUUUAUUUUAACACUAUUUCACUGUUUCACCCAGUGUUGUUCCACUGGGUCAAGGGGACAAUUUUUACUCUUUUAGAUUUUAUUUUUGGAAUUACUUUUAAUCAGAAAUCUAAGAUUGAGAAGGAAGAAACAGCUCUGCCACAAAAAUGGGCAUUCAUUUGAAAACCUGGGGAGGGGUCCUAACUUGCCUUUGUGUGAUCUUCCAUUUUCCUGGGGUGUCUUCCAGCACAAACUUAAUCCCUAUAAAAACAGACAGUGAAAACUGAACGAACACAAGAGACGCAUGCAUUCUUUGUGAUAAGCACCCUUGAGCUUUUCACAAUUGCAUUUAUUUUUCACCUGCUCAUUUACUGUACACCUGUCCCAGGCUGGCACUGUUCUUGGCUGCACUAUGGAUGAUUCUCAGUUUCAGAGCCAGAUUCGUUCUUACAAUUAUUUCACUGGCACAUAGUAAAAACUGUUUCCUGCACUCAGCAAAACACAGCUAAAUAAAGAGUCCAGGUGUGCCAUGUUUAUUAGCCUUUCUACAGUGUAAUACUAAUCUUUGCUCUAAAUAAGUAGCUUUAAGAGACUGUAAUAAUAACCACUUGUCUUGCACGCCCCAGGCGAGAAACAGAAGACGCUCCAGUCCUCUGAACACAGAUUUCAUGGUGGGUCUAGAUGAAGUUUGUGGCACAGGUGUUGAUGUAAUUGCAAUAAUGAUACAUGAGGAGUGCACACGUGGUUCAACCAGCUUUCAGAUAAAUGUUUUCACUGGAGUGGCAUGGCAGCUUGCCAUCAGGUGGGGGGGCCAGUCAGACCCAUGUGGGAGAUUGGUGGGGGAAAAGGAAAACAAAAAAAAAAAAAAAAGGAAGGGAAAAAAAAAUGUAAAAAAUAAUAUUAAAAACCCCAACACCACGAAGAAAAAGAAAAAAAGGAAAAAACACAAAGCAAAAAACCCUGCAAAACCACAAUGUGACAUAAAAAGAAAAAAUCACAAAGCAGAAAAUAAAAUUAAAAAAAAAGUAACCCUAUACCACAAAACCAAACAGCAAACAAACAAAACCUCCACAUCAAAAGAAAACAGAAACAACGCCCCCACACACAAACACCACCACACCUUCAGGCAUUGCAGCUGCUAACACAACAAGGGUUUAGGGUUUUUUCCUGUAUUAUGUCUGUGUAUUUGCACUACACUGAUCAUUCCAAUAUUUUUAUCUUGCUUCCUCUCCCUCUGCAUACAUUUUGAUGUCUGUAUGCACAUAUUUAUGUAUAUUAUGCUUCAUAAAAAAUAUGUAAGUAGUGAUUAUGAGUUGACUCAUGAUCAAUUGAUAUUUUAAUGAGGAGUUGCAAAUCCAUAUAAACAAUGGGGACUGAAUAUUUUAUUAACGUCUAGUAGGUACUGACGCAUCCAGACUUUUUAAAAUUAGAAUAGCAGAUACAUACAUGCCCAACCACCUUAAACACAAAUCUGUGGUAGGUACAAGCAUGUACCCUUGGCAGAUGAAAACAUGUGCACCUGGAAUGUCUUAACCCUGAGAAUGUGUUGUCGUGUCCUAGUGAAAGUGUUAAUUCUCCACUGCCUAAGCUACUUGUUUAGGGUAUGAGCUGGGAAAAGUACUUAGCUACAUACUGCAAGGAUGUGGUUGCAGCUUUUGUAGGACUAUUCACAUUACUAAAAUAAUACUUCUACAUCUUUCUGUGAUUUUUCACACUCUGACUGGGCAUUUAUUUACAUCCUCUGCAAGUCAAGGAUAGUUUCGCAAACACUGAAGGAGCAAAUCGGUGUUUUCCUGCAGCAAUUUAACCAGACAGCGUGACAAAACUCUCCUCUGAUGUAUUCAUUGCAAGUGGGAAUGUUCCCAGUGUCAUCAACAUCUCUUCUAUAAGCAAUGGAGCUGGAGAAGCACCUCAAAGGAAUCUCAUCUCUUAUUUUGGAAACAUAUUUCAGGAUGUUAUGAGUCUUCCUGUGGAGCAACCUCGGGAUGUUGAGGAUGGCUGCAGGAUUCUCCAAGAUACUUGACAGACUGUCAAAGGGAAAUACAGCUGUGGAUCAUUGGUUAAGUAGUCCAAGGAAGACCUUUGGCUGUUUUUCAGACAACACUGUAUAAUUACAACCGCAUCAGUAAAGGGAGGUCAGAUCUAUCUUUCAGGCAUGCAUUAUUAUGAUGGAAAGACCCUGAAAUAUCAUUUGUGUGGAUACAAUACCCAGUUACUGGUUAUUGAUCUGGCAUUGUUCCAUAUCAAUUCCCAACCUGAUUCUUUGCAGCAUGAUCUAUGUCAACAGUGUAUCUCUCUUAAUAUUUCUUUCAUUCUUAGGAAGCUGAAGAAAAAGAAUAAAUAUAUUCUCUCAUUUC